rnacentral:rRNA from 1 species
AGGAUCAUUCGCAAUGGGCGAAAGCCUGACGAUGCGACGCUGCGUGGAGGAUGAAGGCCUUCGGGUCGUAAACUCCUGUCAUGGGGGAAAAGGCGAGGGGAGCUAACACCUCCCUUAGUUGAUGGUACUCCACGAGGAAGGGACAGCUACCUCUGUGCCAGCAGCCGCGGUAAUACAGAGGUCCCUAGGGUUGUUCGGAUUUACUGGGCGUAAAGGGCACGUAGGCGGCAGGGCGUGUCGAGUGUGAAAUCUCCGGGCCCAACCCGGAAAGUGCGCUCGAAACUACCAUGCUGGAGUACGGGAGAGGGAAUCGGAAUGCAGGGUGUAGCGGUGAAAUGCGUUGAUAUCCUGCAGAACACCGGAGGCGAAGGCGGAUUCCUGGAACGUUACUGACGCUAAGGUGCGAAAGUCGGGGGAGCGAACA